rnacentral:rRNA from 1 species
GCGGAAGAUGUAACGGGGCUAAACCAUGCACCGAAGCUGCGGCAGCGACACUGUGUGUUGUUGGGUAGGGGAGCGUUCUGUAAGCCUGUGAAGGUGUGUCGUGAGGCAUGCUGGAGGUAUCAGAAGUGCGAAUGCUGACAUAAGUAACGAUAAAGCGGGUGAAAAGCCCGCUCGCCGGAAGACCAAGGGUUCCUGUCCAACGUUAAUCGGGGCAGGGUGAGUCGACCCCUAAGGCGAGGCCGAAAGGCGUAGUCGAUGGGAAACGGGUUAAUAUUCCCGUACUUGGUGUUACUGCGAAGGGGGGACGGAGAAGGCUAUGUUGGCCGGGCGACGGUUGUCCCGGUUUAAGCGUGUAGGUGUGUGUUCCAGGUAAAUCCGGUUCACUUUAACACUGAGGCGUGACGACGAGGCACUACGGUGCUGAAGCAACAAAUGCCCUGCUUCCAGGAAAAGCCUCUAAGCAUCAGGUAACAUCAAAUCGUACCCCAAACCGACACAGGUGGUCAGGUAGAGAAUACCAAGGCGCUUGAGAGAACUCGGGUGAAGGAACUAGGCAAAAUGGUGCCGUAACUUCGGGAGAAGGCACGCUGACACGUAGGUGAAGUGAUUUACUCAUGGAGCUGAAGUCAGUCGAAGAUACCAGCUGGCUGCAACUGUUUAUUAAAAACACAGCACUGUGCAAACACGAAAGUGGACGUAUACGGUGUGACGCCUGCCCGGUGCCGGAAGGUUAAUUGAUGGGGUCAGCGCAAGCGAAGCUCCUGAUCGAAGCCCCGGUAAACGGCGGCCGUAACUAUAACGGUCCUAAGGUAGCGAAAUUCCUUGUCGGGUAAGUUCCGACCUGCACGAAUGGCGUAAUGAUGGCCAGGCUGUCUCCACCCGAGACUCAGUGAAAUUGAACUCGCUGUGAAGAUGCAGUGUACCCGCGGCAAGACGGAAAGACCCCGUGAACCUUUACUAUAGCUUGACACUGAACAUUGAGCCUUGAUGUGUAGGAUAGGUGGGAGGCUUUGAAGUGUGGACGCCAGUCUGCAUGGAGCCGACCUUGAAAUACCACCCUUUAAUGUUUGAUGUUCUAACGUGGACCCGUUACCCGGGUUGCGGACAGUGUCUGGUGGGUAGUUUGACUGGGGCGGUCUCCUCCUAAAGAGUAACGGAGGAGCACGAAGGUUGGCUAAUCCUGGUCGGACAUCAGGAGGUUAG